CCGGAUACAACUAGCUGUUUUUCGAAAUUGAGAGCAAUUUUAAAUCUGUUCAGUUUUUUUUUAUACACCCUGUAUAAUUGCCAAAAGCUACGUUUUGGUUUAACGUAGCCAUCUCGCUGAAAAAAUGUCUUCUUUAAUUUUAACUUUUUUUAUCUUUCAACAUUUUCAAUCAUAUUUCGGCCUAUUUGCAUAAUCCGAGUCCACAACCAUGCUCAAAAUGCUUAUCAGCGGCUUUUUCAUCAAUCACUAUUUUAUGGAAUUUUGUUUUUAAACACAACACGUAUACCGUUAUUAGUCACACUACGUGAUUAGUCAACUAUACGACUAGCCUGCGAGGCAGGCUCUGGUGAGGGUAAGGAAGAACUUGCAGUCGCUUUUCAUAAAUUUUUGUGCCGCCUCUUAUAUAAUAAAUUAAAAUUCGCUCUAUAGAUUUACCAAUCAUAAUAUUAUCAGAGCAGAAAUUUGUUGUUUACUUCCUG